rnacentral:lncRNA from 1 species
GCUUCCCUGGAAGGUAUAAUAAAGUCUAAUUCUCUUCCUUACUUAAGAAAAAUAUGAUGAGGGAAACUGGAAUUCACUGACAAGAUGACCACUUAAACAUCAGCCAAUAAGGUAAUUAGUAUUUUUAAAUCUUGGCACUCUCAUAUUUGACCAACCUUUCCAUUAAAGUGCAAGAAAA